UCUUCAAUAGAGCCUGUUAGAAGUGAGGU
rnacentral:piRNA from 1 species